rnacentral:tRNA from 1 species
GCUGUAGUGGUUUAAUGGCAGAACGCUUCCGUGGUAAGGAACAGGAAAGGGUUCGAAUCUCUUCUACAGCAC